UGCCCUGUCGUCUAAUGGUAAGACUACGGACUCUGACUCCGUUAAUCGAGGUUCGAAUCCUCGCGGGGCAUCCA
rnacentral:tRNA from 1 species